rnacentral:lncRNA from 1 species
UUUAUAGGUUGCACUUUAUAAAUACAGCUGUUUCUCAAAACACGCCUCUUUUGGGGAGAUCUUGAAUAUUCAUAGAAAAUUAAUUUUGUUUACAUACUGGUUCCCAGUUAUGCUCUCUGUGUUCAAUCUCACAGAGACAUAACUUGGGAAUGUUACCAGUAAAUAAACAUGUGCAUAUUGUUUACAUUGAAAUCUGUGGUAACCUUUCAUUCGAGGUAGGGGUAGUUAAGAGAAUU